CCGUAGGGGGCAAGCGUUGAUCGGCCUCCCUGGGCGUCCCUCUCGUGUCUUCUUUUCUUCCUUUCUUCUUUUCCCUCCCCCGGCUCCCCCGGGGAAUUGCAGGGGAAACCGCCGCUCUUGAGGCAGGUAGAGGUAACCGGAACGUGUGGUGGAGCGGUGAAAUGCGUAGAUAUCACACGGAACGCCGGUGGUGAAAACGGGUCACUGGGCCUGUCCUGACGCUGAGACGCGAGAGCGUGGGGAGCAAACAG
rnacentral:rRNA from 1 species